GAUGAACGCUGGCGGCGUGCCUAAUACAUGCAAGUCGAGCGAAGCGGGGACGGGUGAGUAACACGUGGAUAACCUCCUAUACGCCUGGGAUAACUUCGGGAAAACGGAGCUAAACCGGAUAAUUAUAGAUGGAUCCGCUCUGCAUUAGCUAGUUGGUAAGGUAACGGCUUACCAAGGCAACGAUGCAUAGCCGAUCUGAGAGGAUGAUCGGCCACACUGGAACUGAGACACGGUCCAGACUCCUACGGGAGGCAGCAGUGGGGAAUAUUCCGCAAUGGGCGAAAGCCUGAUGGAGCCACGCCGCGUGUGUGAUGAAGGUCUUCGGUUCGUAAAGCUCUUUUAGCAGGGAAGCGUUACCUAAACAGAAAGCCCCGGCUAACUCCGUGCCAGCAGCCGCGGUAAUAC
rnacentral:rRNA from 1 species